GCCCAGGUGGUGGAAUUGGUAGACACGCCAGCUUGAGGGGCUGGUGGCCGCAAGGCUGUGUGGGUUCAAAUCCCGCCCUGGGCACCA
rnacentral:tRNA from 1 species